UUUAUUACAUUUAAACACGGUCAUGCAUAAUGACAGGGGGGAGUUUUUUAUUAGACGAUCUGAACUCUGUUUGGAGUUUUUGGCUUUGAAGUGGGUUCCAUGUCACCAUCAUCAGCAGCAUCAUCCUCUAUUCAGCCAGGCUUUGGAAAAUAUCACUGAGGACACAUUCCAGUGCUGCUAGAUGUACAUAUGUCUGCCCAAUGUAACACCGACACCAUGGUCCAUGUCUGACUGCUGGACAGAACUGCAAGUGACACUCCCCUCUGCUGGCUAAUGUUGGUAACUGCAGCCCUUAUCAGCUCUAAUGUGUGCUGUCAAAUCUCUCUAUGUGGACCAGUACAAUUGAUGGCCCUGCAGAGUCCCACAUGGAACCAAGAGAUAUCAAGAGAAGAAGAAGCAGAGAGGAAAAGACAGGAAGUAAAAAGUCAGACGCCUUC